rnacentral:rRNA from 1 species
CCUACGGGAGGCAGCAGUGAGGAAUAUUGGUCAAUGGGCGAGAGUCUGAACCAGCCACGUAGCGUGAAGGAUGACUGCCCUAUGGGUUGUAAACUUCUUUUAUAUGGGAAUAAAAUGUUCCACGUGUGGUUUUUUGUAUGUACCCUAUGAAUAAGGAUCGGCUAACUCCGUGCCAGCAGCCGCGGUAAUACGGAGGAUCCGAGCGUUAUCCGGAUUUAUGGGGUUUAAAGGGAGCGUAGGUGGAUUGUUAAGUCAGUUGUGAAAGUUUGCGGCUCAACCGUACAAUUGCAGUUGAAACUGGCAGUCUUGAGUACAGUAGAGGUGGGCGGAAUUCGUGGUGUAGCGGUGAAAUGCUUAGAUAUCACGAAGAACUCCGAUUGCGAAGGCAGCUUACUGGACUGCAACUGACAUUGAGGCUCGAAAGUGUGGGUAUCAAACAGGAUUAGAUACCCUGGUAGUC